rnacentral:rRNA from 1 species
ACUCAAAUGAAUUGACGGGGACCCGCACAAGCAGCGGAGCAUGUGGUUUAAUUCGAUGCAACGCGAAGAACCUUACCAGGACUUGACAUGCCCCUGACCGAUCUAGAGAUAGAUCUUUACCUUCGGGUACAGGGAACACAGGUGGUGCAUGGUUGUCGUCAGCUCGUGUCGUGAGAUGUUGGGUUAAGUCCCGUAACGAGCGCAACCCCUGCUUCUAGUUGCAAACAGUUAGGCUGUGCACUCUAGAGGGACUGCCGGUGAUAAAUCGGAGGAAGGUGGGGAUGACGUCAAAUCAUCAUGCCCUUUAUGUCCUGGGCUACACACGUGCUACAAUGGUCGGUACACUGGGUUGCUACCUUGCAAAAGGAUGCUAAUCCCUUAAAGCCGAUCUCAGUUCGGAUUGUAGGCUGCAAUUCGCCUACAUGAAGCCGGAGUUGCUAGUAAUCGUGGAUCAGAAUGCCGCGGUGAAUGCGUUCCCGGGUCUUGCACACACCGCCCGU